UGGGGAAUCUUCCGCAAUGGACGAAAGUCUGACGGAGCAACGCCGCGUGAGUGAAGACGGCCUUCGGGUUGUAAAGCUCUGUUAUUCGGGAAGAACGAUUCGUUUGUGAACAAUGAACGGAAGUGACGGUACCGAAAGAGAAAGCCACGGCUAACUACGUGCCAGCAGCCGCGGUAAUACGUAGGUGGCAUGCGUUGUCCGGAACUAUUGGGCGUAAAGAGCGCGUAGGCGGUAUGGUAAGUCUGUCUUAGAAGUGCGGGGCUUAACCCCGUAAGGGAACAGAGACUGUCAUCAUGGAGUCUCGGAGAGGAAAGAGGAAUUCCUAGUGUAGCGGUGAAAUGCGUAGAGAUUAGGAAGAACAACGGAGGCGAAGGCGGCUUUAUGGACGAGAAAUGACGCAGAGGCGCGAAAACGUGGGGAGUGGACAGG
rnacentral:rRNA from 1 species